rnacentral:rRNA from 2 species
AAUGAAUGCGGCUGCUAUACAUGCAGUCGAGCGACAGAUGAGAAGCUUGCUUCUCUGAUGUUAGCGGCGGACGGGUGAGUAACACGUGGGUAACCUACCUAUAAGACUGGGAUAACUCCGGGAAACCGGGGCUAAUACCGGAUAAUAUUUUGAACCGCAUGGUUCAAUAGUGAAAGACGGUUUCGGCUGUCACUUAUAGAUGGACCCGCGCCGUAUUAGCUAGUUGGUAAGGUAACGGCUUACCAAGGCGACGAUACGUAGCCGACCUGAGAGGGUGAUCGGCCACACUGGAACUGAGACACGGUCCAGACUCCUACGGGAGGCAGCAGUAGGGAAUCUUCCGCAAUGGGCGAAAGCCUGACGGAGCAACGCCGCGUGAGUGAUGAAGGUCUUCGGAUCGUAAAACUCUGUUGUUAGGGAAGAACAAAUUUGUUAGUAACUGAACAAGUCUUGACGGUACCUAACCAGAAAGCCACGGCUAACUACGUGCCAGCAGCCGCGGUAAUACGUAGGUGGCAAGCGUUAUCCGGAAUUAUUGGGCGUAAAGCGCGCGUAGGCGGUUUCUUAAGUCUGAUGUGAAAGCCCACGGCUCAACCGUGGAGGGUCAUUGGAAACUGGGAAACUUGAGUGCAGAAGAGGAGAGUGGAAUUCCAUGUGUAGCGGUGAAAUGCGCAGAGAUAUGGAGGAACACCAGUGGCGAAGGCGGCUCUCUGGUCUGUAACUGACGCUGAUGUGCGAAAGCGUGGGGAUCAAACAGGAUUAGAUACCCUGGUAGUCCACGCCGUAAACGAUGAGUGCUAAGUGUUAGGGGGUUUCCGCCCCUUAGUGCUGCAGCUAACGCAUUAAGCACUCCGCCUGGGGAGUACGACCGCAAGGUUGAAACUCAAAGGAAUUGACGGGGACCCGCACAAGCGGUGGAGCAUGUGGUUUAAUUCGAAGCAACGCGAAGAACCUUACCAAAUCUUGACAUCCUUUGACCGCUCUAGAGAUAGAGUCUUCCCCUUCGGGGGACAGAGUGACAGGUGGUGCAUGGUUGUCGUCAUCUCGUGUCGUGAGAUGUUGGGUUAAGUCCCGCAACGAACCGCCACCCUUAAGCUUAUUUGCCCUCAUUUAAGUUGGGCACUCAAGGUUGACCCCCGGGGAAAACCCGGAAGAAAGGGGGGGAAGGACGUCCAUACUUCAGGGCCCCUUAAGAAUUUGGCCCUUCAAGAGUGGGGAAAAGGGUAUAAUAAAAGGGGGACGGAAUCCCCGGGGGCCCCCCAAACCCCCGGGGGGUUUCCCCCCUCAAAAAAAGGC